AUGGCGCUGUCCACCGCCCGUGGCUCAUCCCCCCAGCGCCGUCGAGGCUCAGGUCCCGCAUCCUACACCCCUCCCUCGAAUAUGUCGCUCCGACCUUCUUUCGCAGAGCCAGCGGCGGCUCCGCCUUCCUGGAGUUGCCCGUGCUCCUCCAUCGAUGUUCCUGCGGUCAUCCACUGCACCAGCAACAUCCUUUCUCCGUCAGAGCUUGGAUCCUCGCGCCACACCCUUCGUCCGGCAUCCUACAACGACAAAAAAGGAGCGGUCGGUGCCUCCUUCUGCAACCGAUGGUCCGAACUGUCAUAA
rnacentral:rRNA from 1 species